CAAGAAUACUGGAGUGAGUUUCACAGGGAUCUUCCUGGACCAGGAAUCAAACCUGGGUCUCUUGUAUUGCAGGCAGAUUCUUUACAGACUGAGUUACGAGGGAAGUUUACUUUAUAAAAGAUUUCAACUGUCCACAUAAUUAACAAUGGAUAAGAUGACAAUUACAGGAGAAAUGUAACCUGAAAGAUGAAACCAACUUGUCAUAGAACAAUUUUCUAUUUGGUGAAACUAGCCAGAGUUUUAUUUAAAAAGAGAGAGGGGGGAAAAAAGAAGAAAAAGAAACACUUUCAAGUGAGGAGAGAUGUGACUUUGAAGUAG
rnacentral:lncRNA from 1 species